UACGUAGGGGGCAAGCGUUGUCCGGAUUUAUUGGGCGUAAAGGGUGUGUAGGCGGCCAUGUAAGUCAGUUGUGAAAGCCCCGGGCUCAACCCGGGAAGUGCUUCUGAUACUGCUUGGCUUGAGUAUUGGAGAGGUGAGUGGAAUUCCGGGUGUAGUGGUGAAAUACGUAGAUAUCUGGAGGAACACCGGCGGCGAAGGCGGCUCACUGGCCAUAUACUGACGCUGAAACACGAAAGCGUGGGUAGCAAACAGG
rnacentral:rRNA from 1 species